AACUGUUAGUCUACGUGGACCGACAAGAACAGUUUCGAAUCGGAAGCUUGCUUAACGUAGUUCUAACAG
rfam:Dengue virus 1 isolate FT_DNS1_459_S25_R3_ polyprotein (POLY) gene, complete cds; and sfRNA1 lncRNA gene, complete sequence